AGCCUACCAACAUCUCCUCCCCGCUGCCAGCUUAUUACUCAACAGUUCAGGAUUUACUCAUUCAGCACUUUGAAUGCUGUACAGCGUGUUUGCACGCUAGUAUGCAUCGUUGGCCCGCAGCAUCUCUCUAGCAUUUUUGUCCUUUGUUUUCAAUUCUCGAACAAUCUUGGGAAAAUACGAUUGGCAGCCGCACGGCAUGUCCUUGGAGACCCUCGUAUUGUUGAUGUUCUCCUGCAAUACGCAUUCAGGGCUGAUAAUUCUCGAGUGUCGCCAUCCAGUUGCCUGGUUGCCUGAUUGCCUGAUUGCCUGAUGGCCCACGGGCAAUCUGCAAGACUGUCUUUCGUCCAACUCUGGAGACCACAUUUCCAAAGCCCCCACUGAGAAGGAGACUGUUCAUCGAUAAUAAAUAUACGGCAUUUUGACUCAGCAUGCUCAGCUCUGCCUGCAGAAUCGAACUCCCUCAGGAUCUUCAACGGGCCCAGAACUGCGGCGCUAGCCCAUCAGGCCAAUUGCCGUUGUCAAACAAUCGAAUACAGGGCGCCUUCAACUUCAAAAAGCUCGACCGAAUCCACCCAGGAAAAUGUCUGUUCGUUUGAACUUCAUUCUUUGCCCGAGUGAGAACCUAGUAAUGUCAAAAGUUCGAGAUUCUUUUUAACUAGAUGUUGGGAUUCAUUGCUAUGUAAGCACCAUGAAAAGCCCUUGAAAAGUGGUGCCAGAAAAGAGAAAAUUAGACUCAAAUCAAUCGUACAGUACAUCUUAGACGCAUUCUUGAAAAGUUUCUACGUUAUGAGUAUAAGCUCAACUUCUGCUCGCCACAUGGCGCGAUGUCGGUUUAUAUAAACAAUGAAGAAUGCACUUCGGUUCGCACAACAUAAUGUAUUUCGGAAUCAUGCUCAGUCCAAUGCCGGAUUUGGAGUCGCCUCUCCAUGCCCCAGAGGUCCCGCAUACUCUGUGUUAGAAUUCGGAACCAUUCUGGGGAGCAUUCAAUUUCUCGGAAAGAAUGGCACCUGGACCAACUUCAACGCCAC
rnacentral:sRNA from 1 species